rnacentral:snRNA from 1 species
AUGCGAGGGUGAUCUGGUUGUGACGUCUGUCACCCCAUUGAUUGCCAGGGUUGAUUCAGCUGACCUGGCUAGAUAGUUUGGUGUCCCCUUCCUCCCUCAAUGCUGUAUAUAUAUAUCCUUCCUGAAGCUGCAUGCUCAGUAAAAGAGGAUGACCACUCCUGAUAGAGGACAACCAUUCCUUGGUCAAGGGUGUAUAAGUAGCUGCACUCCCCUGCUAGACCCUCCAAAGAAGCACUCAAAAUAGACCAUAUUUUAGCCACAGAACAUACUUAAGUAAAUGCAAAGGAACUGAAAAUAUACUGUGCAUAUUGUCAGACCAU